CGAGGAUCAUAUAUAUAUGGCUCUAGCUAGUAGUACUUUAGAUCCAUUUAAUUGUUGUAGUCAAGCCAAACAAAGCUUAUCGGAAUAUUGAUCCUAUGCCAACAUGCAUUGGACAGAUGCAUGUGUGAAGUAUGAAUAGGUUUUCCCUGGCCGGCUCUUUCUUGGGCAACCCAUAAUAUUGUUAGAGGUCUCUUCAACGUUUGUCCACGUGGCAGAUCAUUAAGGGAUGGUCAACGUCCAAUGUGGAGAAAUGCCGGUAGGUGCACCUCUACCCCCAUGCCAGAUUAGUCAGAGCUGCCAGCUCCUUCAAUUUGAAUUCCCAAUUUUGUUGAGUUCAAAUGCUUGAGAAGUACCUAAAACGGUGGGUUCUAAGGUCUAAACUUUAGUUCUACUCUGAGCAUUUGAAUCUUCUUUACUGAGAUUCCUUGAACCUGCACGUAUCAACAAACGUCGAAGUCUUCGGUCAAUGUGCAAAAAAAACUCAAUCAUUGAUCGACACGUCGUCACGAGAAAGGGUGACUUGUGGGCACACAAUUGGCUGCAUUGGUCGUUGUGAAACAAAAGGGGGCAAGAACCGGCCACCGAGGAUUUUGUCAGAUAGUACCAAGCUGAGUGGAACAGAUUAAUGGGAAAUUAUCACAAUACAGAGUAGCAUGAGAUGUAUCCACUCCCAGUUGGCAUUAUCUAUAAUUUGUUGGGUUUUCUUUUGAGUAGUUAGGUGUCUUCUUGAUGCACACGUUAUUUUCUCCUUUACAGUUUUGGUGGUGGAGGGUGACUGGAGAGGGUGACUUUCAUUUGCCGUUCUGGCAUCUGUCCUUUGUAGCCUGUCAGUUUGGGACCUUGAAAGGACAUCAACGAAACGAGGUCAUUUACUUGGGCCAUUGAUCCAUAUAUAUAUAUAUAUAUAUGAGGAAGUUGUAAACAAGCAUCAAAGAUGCCUAAAGUGAUCAGCAAGUUUGUAUGGAUGAAUACCAAGCUUAGGAAUUCUGGAUUAUAUACCAUAUUAGACUUUUCAGGAUUCCAAGCACAGGGAACAACAAUUUUUGUAGGAUUGGCCCGUAUUUGAUUGUCCUCAUCCACAUGAAUCACAAGCACAAAAAGAAUAAAAUACAUCAAAUUUUACCUUAUUUUUAACUACUGGUAAUUUAUCUUCAACAUUCAAUACGGUGUAAACAACCAUUAAGGACGCUUAACCCCAUGUAUCCUUCUAAUUAAUCACCGUUGUUGCAGUUCUCAAGCACUCUGCUAGAUCGGGCUAAAUGGAGGGGAAAGCCUUUCCAGCCGCUUUCAGAAAUCCUACAGGUACAUAUUUAACUUCAUUGUAGGGUAAUAAGAGUGGCUUUUACUUAGCCUUCUGUAACCCUCUUUAAAAGA